AACGCACAUUGCGCCCCUUGGUAUUCCGAAGGGCAUGCCUGUUCGAGCGUCAUUAUCACCCCUCAAGCCUAGCUUGGUGUUGGACGUUAGUGAGUCUUCUCACUCGUCCCAAAGAUAAUGACGGUGGUCGUGGACGACACCAGUACACUGAGCCUUUUGGCACGUAUUGAUCGAGUCUCGAUUCCCGGUCUUUAACCACAAAUUUUUCUAAGGUUGACCUCGGAUCAGGUAGGGAUACCCGCUGAACUUAA
rnacentral:misc_RNA from 1 species